rnacentral:lncRNA from 1 species
GCUCCUUUCUCUCUCCUGCCUCUCAAAAAGAUGCUAUUCCUGUGAUUAAAACCAUUACAGUGCUUCAAAGGUUAUACAUGACUUUCAGGCUUCAACCUCAAUAGAAGCAGAAAUACAUCAUCGUAAAUUUAUUAAGUGCUGUGAAAUUCAGAUUUUUAAAAGUUUGUGCAGAUGUCAUUGGUGCCUAACCCACAUCGCCUGGGCACUCAACAUUCGCAUGCAAGGAGAUAGUUUCCUACUACAAGGACCUGCCACUCUCCUCGAGUGUCUCCUGCAUCCAGGCUAGAAGCAUCGGAGGGAUUAAUGGUUGUAUUCCAC